UUUCGAUGACGGGGAUGAAUAAAUGGAAAAUCGCGAGAUUCGUUUCGAACGCACCGGCGACACGAGGGGGGCCGGCGUGAAAAAACGAAAGGGCAAGAACAGUGGCGAAAUAUACGGGAGGAAGAAAGAAGUAAGGAUUCGGGGGUGACCCGGUAGUAGAAAAGGAGAAGAGGCGGCGUGAUAAAGAGGGAAGAAGAUAGAGAGAGGGAGUGCGCGCGUGAUCUCUCGGUGGCCGUGUCGCUGCGAAUCGUCAGAAUCGGUCGGUUGUACAGAGACGAGUAUAACCUAUAUCCUGAACGCGGCGCUGUUCCAUUCUCCGUGCCUCCUCCCUGGCGGAUGGCGGCCGCACCUCCUCCUUCUCGUCGAUUUUAAUCUCGUUAGCGAACACGUGCGCGCCCCGCGCCUACAGACCACUAUACGACGACCUACCGUAUCGGGGCUUCGCCAAUCUGGUUUUGUCUAACAGGAUUCUCGAGCGACCGAGGGUUGAUAAAAGGCUGCGUACCGAGCGGGCGCGGCGCGAAUCGCAGGAGGAGUUGCUCCGCUCGAGGUGUGGGCGCUCGUGCAGCACAGGCAAUAACAGCAGACGACCUCGUCAUCGUCUUCUAUUCUGUCGUCCUCGAACGUGCGUGCGUGAACAAAGAAUAAGGAGAGAAAAGACCGAGAAGGAGGGACACAUCAAGCAAAGGAAAAGAGAAUAGGAAGAGGUAGAUGGGUCUCGGUUCUAGAGAGAAUCGAGGAAGAGAAGGUUGAAAAAAGGAAAAGAGGCAGAUAGAGAGAAGCUACCGGCCGAGGUUCGUGCGUGUGCGUACAUGUGUUGAUGUGUCGCUGGCGUCGUCGAGCCCUAGCAGGAGUGCUCCGUCGCCGCGUGUGCCGACGUCGUUGAGAAUACGGGGAUUCCGGAGACACGUUCGUCGGAUCUACGUUUACGUCUAGUCGCUGCCUAUCUCCGUGCACGUUGUCGUCGUUGUCACCGACGUCGUCGCCGUCGUCGUCGUCGCCGUGGACAAGUGGUGGUGAAUCGUGCUAGUGGCGGUAGUAGUGGUGGUGCGGACGAUCGGGAAAGAUUUGAUCGGCUUGGCCAGGACGAGAGGGAAGGA